CGCAUCUGUGCAUGCAGCAUAUCAAUAAGCGGAGGAAAAGAAACUAACAAGGAUUCCCCUCAGUAACGGCGAGUGAAGCGGGAAGAGCUCAAAUUUGAAAUCUUGAAAGGGUUCACCUUUCACGAAUUGUAGUUUAAAGAAGUGUUUUCUGUUGAGGUUUUGGUAAAAGUUCUUUGGAAUAGGACAUCAUCAGAGGGUGAGAAUCCCGUCUAUGACUUGCUACUUUUAACUUUGUGAUACACUUUCAAAGAGUCGGAUUGUUUGGGAAUGCAGUCCAAAACUGGGUAGGUAAAUUUCAUUCUAAGCUAAAUAUUGGCGAGAGACCGAUAGCGAACAAGUACCGUGAGGGAAAGAUGAAAAGAACUUUGAAAAGAGAGUUAAACAGUACGUGAAAUUGUCAAAAGGGAAGCGUUUGACACCAGUGUUGUUUUUCUGAAAAUCAAUUAAAGAACUGUUUAUGCUAAGCUGUUUAGACUUUAUCAGCUAACUGUUUAGUUUUGAGCUUUUCUUUAAUGCACUUUUCAGUUAACAAGUCAACAUCAAUUUCUUUUGCUGUAAAAAAGCUUGAGGAAGGUGGCUUGAGAUUCGUCUUAAGUGUUUAUAGCCUCUUGCCUAUGCAGUCGGAGAGAUUGAGGUCUGCAGCGUAGAUCCUUCGGGGCUAAAUGCAUUUGUGCUAAGUUAUAGCAUUUUAUAGACAACUUGUUGACUAUAAUUAGUCUUGUAGCUUACUCGCUUAUGCUUAUUUUACCUACGCUUAGGAUGUUGACGAUCAGCUGAGCGCG
rnacentral:rRNA from 1 species